rnacentral:rRNA from 1 species
AACGAACGUUAGCGGCGCGCCUAACACAUGCAAGUCGAACGCGACUGGGGGCAACUCCAGUUGAGUGGCGCACGGGUGAGUAACACGUAGGUAAUCUCCCCCCGAGUGGUGGAUAACCCU